rnacentral:rRNA from 1 species
AACGUAGGUGGCGAGCGUUAUCCGGAAUUACUGGGCGUAAAGCGUGUGCAGGCGGGCUAGCAAGUGGUGUAUGAAAGCUCCCGGCUCAACCGAGGAACGUCGAUCGAUACUGCUGUUCUUGAGGAUUGCAGAGGAGACUGGAAUUCCCGGUGUAGCGGUGAAAUGUGUAGAGAUCGGGAGGAACACCGGUGGCGAAGGCGGGUCUCUGGGCAAUUCCUGACGCUGAGGCGCGAAAGCGUGGGGAGCAAACGGG